rnacentral:rRNA from 1 species
GGUGGCCUACGGGACGCAGCAGUGGGGAAUAUUGCACAAUGGGGGAAACCCUGAUGCAGUGACGCCGCGUAUAGGAAGAAGGUUUUCGGAUUGUAAACUAUUGUCGAUAGGGAAGAAAAAAGACUGUACCUAUCAAGAAAGCUCCGGCUAACUACGUGCCAGCAGCCGCGGUAAUACGUAGGGAGCAAGCGUUAUCCGGAAUUAUUGGGUGUAAAGGGUGCGUAGACGGGAUGUCAAGUUAGUUGUGAAAUACCUCGGCUCAACUGAGGAACUGCAACUAAAACUAACAUUCUUGAGUGCAGGAG